GGGCCCGUAGCUCAACGGAUAGAGUACGUGGCUUCGAACCACGCGGUCCAGGUUCGAUUCCUGGCGGGCCCA
rnacentral:tRNA from 1 species